rnacentral:rRNA from 1 species
GACGAACGCUGGCGGCGUGCUUAACACACGCAAGUCGAACGGUGAAGCCCUUCGGGGUGGAUCAGUGGCGAACGGGUGAGUAACACGUGAGCAACCUGCCCCUGGCCCUGGGACAACCACUGGAUACGGUGGCUAAUACCGGAUACGACCCGCCUCGGCAUCGAGUGUGGGUGGAAAGUUUUUCGGCUGGGGAUGGGCUCGCGGCCUAUCAGCUUGUUGGUGAGGUGAAGGCUCACCAAGGCGACGACGGGUAGCCGGCCUGAGAGGGCGACCGGCCACACUGGGACUGAGACACGGCCCAGACUCCUACGGGAGGCAGCAGUGGGGAAUAUUGCACAAUGGGCGAAAGCCUGAUGCAGCGACGCCGCGUGAGGGAUGACGGCCUUCGGGUUGUAAACCUCUUUCAGCUCCGAAGAAGCGAAAGUGACGGUAGGAGCAGAAGAAGCACCGGCUAACUACGUG